GAAACAUAAAAAUAGAGAUACUGGAGCUGCUUCCUCGACAGGUAACAACCUUUGACUGCGACAAUUUGAAUUCAGGCAUUAACUUGAGUGAGCUGUAUAUCUGCUGCCCCUAUCCCUGCAUUCCUGUUAACUUGAGUGAGCUGCACAUCUGCUGUCCCUCUUCCUGCAUUCCUGGUACUAGUACGAUGGUGACGAUCAUAACCCUUGCCAACAAAUGCAUCCACAACACCUUGUCUUCAUGACUGGAUUUUGUUUACUUAAAUGCUAUCUGAAUAGGGUGAGGUUUGACAUGAAGGUUCUGCAAACAAGAUCUAUGCUGCAUGGAUUUUCUUCAGUUAGUAGAUUGAUGAAUGUUGAUUGUAACUUAUUAGAAGAUAAAUGUGAAAUUUGUAUAAAACCACUAUUAGGACUUCUUUACAGAUAUUAUGAGUUACUUGAAAACCUGCUGAAUAAUUGACUCCUCAUAUCUGAAUUUUCAUACUCAAUGUGUACUGCUUUUCUG
rnacentral:misc_RNA from 1 species